rnacentral:rRNA from 1 species
UAGGGAAUCUUCGGCAAUGGGGGCAACCCUGACCGAGCAACGCCGCGUGAGUGAAGAAGGUUUUCGGAUCGUAAAGCUCUGUUGUAAGAGAAGAACGUGUGUGAGAGUGUAAAGUUCACACAGUGACGGUAACUUACCAGAAAGGGACGGCUAACUACGUGCCAGCAGCCGCGGUAAUACGUAGGUCCCGAGCGUUGUCCGGAUUUAUUGGGCGUAAAGCGCGCUCAGGCGGUUUAAUAAGUCUGAAGUUAAAGGCAGUGGCUUAACCAUUGUUCGCUUUGGAAACUGUUAAACUUGAGUGCAGAAGGGGAGAGUGGAAUUCCAUGUGUAGCGGUGAAAUGCGUAGAUAUAUGGAGGAACACCGGUGGCGAAAGCGGCUCUCUGGUCUGUAACUGACGCUGAGGCUCGAAAGCGUGGGGAGCAAACAGG